UGGGUUCUACUUUUAACAAUGGUCACCUUA
rnacentral:piRNA from 1 species